rnacentral:pre_miRNA from 1 species
AAAAAAUCAUUUGGACCGUCGGUCUUCCGAGCAAUAUCACCCGCUCGGUGGUAGAUCUUCCCUUCGUCAUUUAAG